rnacentral:rRNA from 1 species
UGGCGGACGGGUGAGUAAUGUCUGGGAAACUGCCCGAUGGAGGGGGAUAACUACUGGAAACGGUAGCUAAUACCGCAUAAUGUCUACGGACCAAAGCGGGGGACCUCCGGGCCUCUUGCCAUCGGAUGUGCCCAGAUGGGAUUAGCUAGUAGGUGGGGUAACGGCUCACCUAGGCGACGAUCCCUAGCUGGUCUGAGAGGAUGACCAGCCACACUGGAACUGAGACACGGUCCAG